AAUGAACGCUGGCGGCAGGCCUAAAACAUGCAAGUCGAGCGCCCUAGCAAUAGGGAGCGGCGCACGGGUGAGUAACACGUGGGAAUAUGCCUUUUGGUACGGAACAACUUUUGGAAACGAAAGCUAAUACCGUAUGGUCCCUUCGGGGUAAAGAUUUAUCGCCAAAAGAUUAGCCCGCGUUGGAUUAGCUAGUUGGUAGGGUAAUGGCCUACCAAGGCGACGAUCCAUAGCUGGUCUGAGAGGACGAUCA
rnacentral:rRNA from 1 species